UAUCUUUAGUUCCUUCUCCACCACAGAUCUAACAGAUCCGCAGCAGAGGGGAAGGAGGGUGAGAUUGAAAUACAGAUAGGGACCACACAUCUCAAAGAACUUCCAGUUACAGGAAGGAGAGGACUAGAAGGAGCUGGAUGUCGACUCUUGAGUUUCCUUUCUGGAUCGUGCCACCAGCAGCCAGUUGUCUAGAUGGGAAGAGUGUUUCCUGCCACCAUCCAGAAGAACAAUCAAAAUCAGAUGGGAACAUCGCAAUACAAAGGAUUGAUUAAUGGCCCUAUCGCAUUUUAGAAAUACCACAUGCAAGGAAGCUGGUCUAUGGACUUGGAGGCUGAAUGAUGGAAAUGAAAAAAAGACACAGGAAGAUGUUAGAUCUCUCUGCAGUUUGAACUCUGACAGGGCCAGAGACUCUAAACUGAGAGGCAGAGACACCCAGGAGUUGUCUGCCCUGAAAGCCAUCUUGAAUUGACAGAGAUGUAGUAUCUUUAAAAAUCAUAGAUGGUAACUCGUUUGUGUUUAUGUUUGCUUGCUUUAGCCUGGAAAUAAGAGAAUUAUUUCUUUUUUCUAGUUAAUAAACCUUUAAGUUAGGGCACGUCUUCACUACCCGCCGGAUCGAUGGGUAGCAAUCGUCUCUAGUGAAGACGCGAUAAAAUCGAUCCCUGAUUGCUCUGCCGUUGACUCCGGAAAUCCACUGCGGCAAGAGGCGGAAGCGGAGUCGACGAGCGGAGUCGACGGCGGCGCGGCAGCGGUCGACUCGCCGCCAUCCUCACAGUCAGGUAAGUCAACCUAAAAUACGCAACCUAUUCACGUAGCUGAAGUUGCGUAUCUUAGGUCGACCCCCCGACUCCCCUCCCACCCUCCACCCCCCACCCCAGUAGUGUAGACCUAGCCUUAGUUUAUUACAGGAUUGGCUACAGGCGUUGUCUUUGGUGUGAGAUCUAAGAUACAGAUCGAUCUGGGGUAAAUGACUGGUCUCUUGGGACUGGAAGCAACCUGAAUAUUGUGUGAUUUUUGGUUUAAGUAACCAUUUAUCACUAAAUCCAGUUUGCCUGGGUGGCAAAAUAGCCUGGAGAGUCUAAGGCAGAGUUUCUCAAAUGCGGCCACUGUGGCCGCAUGUGGCCACCAGGGGCUUUUCUUGCAGCCACAACCUCCUUGGCAGUGAUGCGGGAGGAAGGGGGAAAAGCAGUGGUCCUGCCCCAAGGGCCACCAACAAGAGACACAAAUGCUAGAGGAACAGGCAGCUAGUGAGUUCCCCACCUUCCCUGGGAUGUAGGCUCAGGCUCCAGCUCCAGGGUGGCAGACAGCAGGCUCUGGUCAUAGGGCUCAAACCCCCAACGGCAGGGCUACCCCCUAUCACCCUUGACCCCCGCCAGCCCGUCAUGCAUGAUGUCCCCCACAUCCCCCCUACUGAACUCCCUAUCCAAGGCUUAAUUUGUCCCUGGGCUUGCCAGGACUGAAUAAGUCUGCUGCUGUGAAAAGUGAUAUUUGUUAAUACCACUUUUAACAGCAGUAGACUUACUAGCUAGCAAGUCUUUUAACAAAAGCAGCCAAAAAAAGCAAAAGAAACGACAACAAAAAUGACAAGAACCUGCAGAGCACCUUAUUUGUGUUUCUAUUCUGUUACGGUCCUGUAAAGGAGAGAGACAACUGUACAUUAUUUUUAUUAUUGAGUCUGCAAAAAUAUUCAAUAAAUUACAAUGAUUUGGA